rnacentral:rRNA from 1 species
AUUGAACGCUGGCGGCAGGCCUAACACAUGCAAGUCGAGCGAGCGGCGGACGGGUGAGUAAUGUCUGGGAAACUGCCUGAUGGAGGGGGAUAACUACUGGAAACGGUAGCUAAUACCGCAUACCAUCAGAUGUGCCCAGACGGGAUUAGCUUGUAGGUGGGGUAACGGCUCACCUAGGCGACGAUCCCUAGCUGGUCUGAGAGGAUGACCAGCAGCACGGGACCUGAGACACGGUCCAGCUUCCUACGGGUGGCAACAGGGGGGAGUAUUGCACAAGUGGCGCAAGCCUGAUGCAGCCAUGCCGCGGGUGUGAAGAAGGCCUUCGGGUUGUAAAGCACUUUCAGCGGGGAGGCGUUACCCGCAGAAGGAGCACCGGCUAACUCCGUGCCAGCAGCCGCGGUAAUUC